CGCCCCCGGCCGCAGUGCAUGAUGGGAAGUGGAGCGGCUAACGAGGCCGUCGGCCAUUUUGUGUCUGUUUCCUGUGGGACGUGGUGGUAGCCGU
rnacentral:pre_miRNA from 12 species